GCGCACAUACCCACACACAGAUACACACAGACGGGCGGACGCGCCCUCAUUUUAGCCGCGCGCGACCGACUGCAGUGUUUUUCCUUGGUGGUGGUGUGAAGUCCUCUUGUGAACACCAACCCCCCUUUUCUCCCCGGCACUGCGUGCAUGUGCGUGUGUGUGUACACACAUAUCUUUCUCUACAUGCCUUCUAUCCAUGCACUGUCUUGUCUCUUGCUUGCUCAUUCGACCUUUUCAAUCUCGUUGUCGGCUUGUACGGCGUGCGGCCUCAUAACUGGACGCACGCAGCCACACGCACACACAGACACGCGCUUCCUGGCGCCUCAGCGAUGCUGGCGGUGCGUAAACUGGUGGAACCCACCGCGGUGAACGCGCUGUGCGUCUUGCGGUUGGAGUCGGGUGCGGCGACGCCAGCGCCGUGCGGCAACAGAGCUGUUGUUCUGGCGGCCAUUUCAGAGUCGAUCCAUGUGUUUGACUUCGCACCCGCCUCCGCGGCCACGGUUCUCGACUCAUUCGUCGCGUCAUCAGCAUUGGGCUUUCAGUUUUGCCCACGAGGCCACGUUUUCAACGUUGGCUGUGGCGUGUCCGGACUGCUGGCGCUGGCGAACCAGUGCUUCAUCGUGUGGACGCGAGACCAGGAGUGCAUACUAGUGCGUUACCAAGCCAACCUUGCUAGUCCUCCCGCCAGACGUGCAAGCGUGGCUGACGCAUGCCGUGUAUACAAAGAGGAUGGGCAGCCGUCGCCGUUGCAUAACAAGGAACAUCACUGGUACGUGGUGCGGCGAAUGCGACUGUGGUGCCCCGACGCAGGCGAGCUUCUCCCGGCGCCGGAGAUGGGCGUCAACGAGGGCAUGGACACUGUCUUCAUCCGCUUCUCCGAGAAGCACGUCUUCCUUGUCUGCAUGAAGUGGGUGGCGUCUUGCACGCCAGGGGAUAAGGGACGCCUGCCAGCGGACACGCUGCGCACCUGCCGCUGGCACACAGGCAACUACAUGCGCGCCUACGCCGGCACCGGGUUCCACUACCCGACCCAGAGCUGCAGUGUGGCCACCCGACGCCCACGCGAGAGCAGCUCCGAACAUCAGGCGCGGCUUGAGCGGCUCUGGCAGUCAUGCUCCCCCUUCGCCAGCAUACCUGACGAGGACCUCAUUGCGAACCACUCGGUGAGGGAGCUGGCUCGGCACAAGGACGCAGAGACGCAAGGCGCUGCUGCGAGGUAUGCCUCGCUGUCACCUUCGUCCCAGACUGACGACUACUGCGGCGUGAGCGAUGUGUGGCUGCGCCGUGAGGCCCACACCGCCCCGUCACCGCUGAUGCCAUCGCCGGCUCAGUACUGCGGCAGUCCAAUGGGAGGCUUCGCAAACGUGCGAGGCACCGGGGGAAAUACCGCCGUUCACCACGCACCACCGACACUCUUCGGUUCCAGGACUGUCGCCCUCAAGGACAGGUACGCCUCACCGCACAAGAGCGCUAUCGCCGUGGUUGCGCCACGGCGAAGCGGGCGGCGGGGGGUAGAGUGGCUGCUGCUUGUGAUGGUGAGCACUGAUUCUUAUACGGCGGUCUACCACCUGCAGAGGCGCCACACUCCGCUGACGGCACACCACCUCGUCCUCGACGGACUCGUGCACGACGCGGCGUACCCGCGCCAGGUGCUCCUGUGCUCCCAUAGCGGUGACGCUAUCAACGAUGUAUGGGUAGCUCUCAGCAGCGGUGUCGUGACGCGGCUCUCCGUGUCGGCGCUGCGCUCCAGGUGGAGCGCCGGUGGAGAGGGCGCCAAGGUAGGGUGGCCCAGAAUAUCAGUAUCGGGGCUGCCUCCAUCCUUCUACUGCCGACGCAUGCUUCCAGCUGACGACCUCGUCGGCACUAACCCGCACCUCAGCAGCCCCGGCAGCGUUGGAGCAGACACUUCAGCUUACCCCUGUGCAGGACGGUACACCAUCUUCUCCGAUGGGGUUCAAGACGCGUACGUAGUCGACCUUGUUGAGUGCCGAGUGGUGGCGGCCAUGGCUGCCGAUGGACCCAUGACCGACAUCUGCGAAGCCCCGCACGGCUUCGUGGCAAGCUUUGCGAAGGGGGUGCUGCGGUACCUUCAGCCUGGCGUUGCGCUGCAUGUAUGCGGGACGGCCACCCUCGCUGGGGUGACAGAUGCCCUGCACGUCGCACGUGUGCGGUGCAGCACUGCCAGCGACAGCGAUGGCGUCGCCCCUGGUGUGUAUCUCAUGGCCAGCACGAGGUUCACCUCGCAGUUGUUCCUUGUGGAGGAGGGCGGCAUGCGUGUCACUGCGGCGGACGGGUGGACCUACGCGAUGGACGAGCCCACGCUAGCGUUUGGCGCAGGCGCCGCAACACUUGCGCAGUGCACGGCGACACGCUGGUGUGUCGGGCGUGUUGUGCACACGCUUCCAGGCGUCUUCUCGCACGCGGCCAUCGCGGAGCUGCCCAUCAUCGGCCUCGUGUGCGUUGGCGCCGUCGCAGCUGCGAAGCACGACGCGUGCGCGCGCCUUGCAGUUGCGACUGGGACCGACGUUCGCAUUCUUCGCAUUGCGGACGUGGCGUGUGGGCCAUGGUCGUGUGUCACGGUGACGGCAUUCGAGGGAGAUAUGGCGAUGCAUGUUGUGAUGGGACGGUGGGAGGGCGGGGUGACAGUGGCGCAGUUGCAGUACGCGCUUGAGUCGUCGUGGCGGUGCGUGGCGGCGUGCACGGUUCAUCCGACGUUUGGCGCCGGCGCACCGGUGCAGCGACUGCUGCCCCUGCCGCGUGCCGGGGCGCACACUCGCUGGAUGGCGACUCACACCAGUGGAGAGGUGUCUAUUCUGACGGCGGCGCCGCUCGACACAUGUGCGGCUGAGGCGGCAGUGGCAGCAGGGAUGCCGUCUCUGCUGCACGCGUGGGCUGCAGCAGAGAACGUGCGGGGCGGCAAUGGUGUCUCAAUCACCGCAACGGCAGCGGUGCCACUGCUGCGAGCCGCAGGCGGUGAUGCGCUGAACGGCUUCGAUGGGGCGUUGCUGCAGCCGCGAGAUGGCGCCGUGCUUUUCUUCUCUGUCCCUCUCGAGGAGGCGGAUACACAAACUCCGCCGCUGAUGCGGCGACACCGCGAGAACGACGAGGCAGACGUGGCAUGGAGCACCCGGCUGGAGUACACCGUACGUGCCAUCCUUGAGCCGCUCGAUGCAGCGCAGGUGAGGGCGUCUUCGUGGCGCGAGGCGAUUCUAUUUGAACGCGGCACUGCCACCGGUAACCUGGCAUACGACCUCCUAGUAGCACAUCAUGACAAGCUGACGCUGCUGGCCCUUGAUCGACAUGUCUUCAGCCGCGACCAGCGGGCUGCCGGUGCGACGCCACCCGGAACCCGCGCCUAUGCGCUGGUGUCUGCUGCGCCCACUCGCUACGUAUGCACUCAUCAAGCCAGGCUGUCACAGACGAAGGCCAAGGCGCGUGAAACGCUCCUCGAAGUGGCCAGUUCGCCAGAUGGCGAGGAUGGAGACUUGAUGCUGUGUGUGAUGGUGGGGACUGAGGCCCAGCACACAACGCGACUCACAACUGUGCGCACGACAACACUGACGACGCUGGACUCGGUCGUGCUGAACGACUGCACGGCUCACUGGAUGGCCUCCGUGCCGAUCUCGGCGCGCGCCGCUAGCCAACACGCUGCUCCGUUGUUUCUUUUGUGCACCCUUCAUGUAUCCUCUGGUUGCGUGCAGCUGCAGGUGGUGACCGGCAACCCGCUGCGAGUUGUCUCUAGCGUGACGCUCGAGGAUGUGCCAGCCCCGCCAGACGCGAAAGAUGGGCACGUGUCCAUUGACGGGUCCGUGCAACUUGUGCCGUCGCGUGCGGGCGAGCGCGGCGAGCUGGGGAUGUCGGAGGUGCUGGUGACAGUCGCCGCUGACUACGGGAUUCACCUAUUCGCCCUGCGGGGGCACACGCUGUACUUCCAGCACUGCGUGGUGGCCCCAGAGUGUGUCAGCGCCGUGGUACUGUGCUACCCGGUGGUGACAGCGUGCACACAGGGCGAGACGAACGUCUACCUGCAGGUUUACCCGGUGCACGACACGACCGAGUCCCUUGCACCCCCCUACACGGCGGCGGCGACGAGGCUGUUGAAGGAGUACGGCAAAGUGUCGUGGAAGAUGCGCGUGGAGGCUCGUGAGCCAACCUUGGGCGCGUGUGUCAUUGCGCAGGCGUCUCUGUACGACCGGUGUGUACGGACGGAUUUGGAGGGCGACGUGUCGGUAGUGUUCGCCUCCUUCGUGACUGCCUUCUCGUCCACAAAGCCGCGAACGGCACUCCAUGUCAACCGCGAGGAUGCCUACAUCGGCUCCGCGGACGGGCCGCAAUCUUUUCUCACUCACGCGGUGCGUCUCCCGUCAGUGCCGACGAAGGCGCGGUUUAUUCGCCGCGCUGACGCGAUCCACCGUCGCUUCCCCCGCCAGCUGCAGUGCAACGGCCGCCACGUCACGCUGCAGUCGCUGAGUCAGCGCAAAGACGGGUCCGCGCGUCUGCUGCUGCUGCCGUGUCACGAUGGAAGUCUGUACAGCGCGUACGAGCUGCCCUUCAGCAUUGCGCAUCCGCUGAUGCGGCUGGAGCAGGUCAUCACCGACACCUACGCGCUCGAUCUCUCCGCUACCGUGCACCCAACCUUUCCCGGACGUCUGCAGCACACCUACCACUUGCGUCCCUUCCAUAUUGCUCACGCUCUGCAGCCGGUAGUGGGGACACAGCGAGCGUUGAAGCAGGCGUGCAUAAUUGUGGACGCCGUGAACGAGUACUUCAUGCUGCGUGAGGUUGUGCGCGAUGGAUGGAGCAGAAGUGGUAACAAAACGAAGGAGUCGAUAAGUGACGAGGCAGCCGCGCACAGGAAGUUCAUCGCCCUCGAUGACGUCGUGCAGACGUUGCUGGUCGAGGAGUACAACGGCGCGUACACGGUGGACGACUGUGCGGAGGCGCUGAACCUGUCUUGAGGAAUGUGUUACCUUCUGUGAUGCGCCGGUAAAGGGGAUAGCAGGGAUGAUGGAAGAGAGGAGGACGGUCUACCUGCCUUUCUCUGGUGCGAUGUGGGAGGCGCUCUUUCCUCCGUGCUCCUUCCUCUUCUCUCCACCGCAUAUCCACUUCCCUCUGCCUUGUGCCCCCGCUGCACACGCGCUUUUUGCUGUUGGCCGUUGAUGUUGGUUGUGGGUGACAAACAGACGCUUUCAUAGAUGCCACAGAGAUUAUAUCACCUCUCUAAAGUCAUUUCUUUGCCCGCGCCGACCCCCCCCUCCGCUCCUCUCUAACGGGACGCGAACCCUCUGAUGCUGUGCUGUCAAGGCGGACAACUUGCGUUCUUCUCGCACACAUUGCGCGCCACAAACACGAAAGAAACGACGAGGAGAAAAAACAGGAAACAGGAGUUGCGCAAAACGCCCCGCCGUGCGGCUUAGAUCCUCUCCCUCUCCCUCGCCCCUUCUCUAUGUGCGUCCCCUGUGUGCCCGUUGCCUCAUCUCCCCACAUCUCUCUGCUUUCUCCCUCCCCCUGGAUCUGCGCAG
rnacentral:misc_RNA from 1 species